GUCUUGUGAUAUAAAUAAGAAGCGACAGUUUUCAUAUUACCAGUCUUACUUUGACCCUAGGAGAGUAAUUAAAUAAUUAUUUCUUUAUUUUUGUUCCAAAAAUGAAAGGUUUUUUGUUUAUAUUUGCUGUUAUGAUGGCUUUAUUUUCUUUGACUUCAGCAAUGCUUGUCGAGCCUAAAGAUGCUGUCCUGGAAAGGGCAAAGCGCGAAGAUUGUGACUACCGUGAAUGUGACCGAUUUUGCAGAAGAA